AUACGUAGGUGGCAAGCGUUGUCCGGAAUUAUUGGGCGUAAAGCGCGCGCAGGUGGUUCCUUAAGUCUGAUGUGAAAGCCCACGGCUCAACCGUGGAGGGUCAUUGGAAACUGGGGGACUUGAGUGCAGAAGAGGAAAGUGGAAUUCCAAGUGUAGCGGUGAAAUGCGUAGAUAUUUGGAGGAACACCAGUGGCGAAGGCGACUUUCUGGUCUGUAACUGACACUGAGGCGCGAAAGCGUGGGGAGCAAACAGGAUUAGAUACCCUGGUAGUCCACGCCGUAAACGAUGAGUGCUAAGUGUUAGGGGGUUUCCGCCCCUUAGUGCUGCAGCUAACGCAUUAAGCACUCCGCCUGGGGAGUACGGUCGCAAGACUGAA
rnacentral:rRNA from 1 species